UACAGGGGGUGCAAACGUUGCUCGGAAUCAUUGGGCGUAAAGCGCACGUAGGCGGUCUGUUAUGUCGGAUGUGAAAGCCCUUGGCUCAACUGAGGAAGUGCAUCCGAAACUGGCAGGCUAGAGUACGAAAGAGGAUCGCGGAAUUCCCGGUGUAGAGGUGAAAUUCGUAGAUAUCGGGAGGAACACCAGUGGCGAAGGCGACUACCUGGCCUGUUUCUUGACGCUGAGGCGCGAAAGCUAGGGGAGCAAACGGG
rnacentral:rRNA from 1 species